UAGGGAAUCUUCGGCAAUGGGGGCAACCCUGACCGAGCAACGCCGCGUGAGUGAAGAAGGUUUUCGGAUCGUAAAGCUCUGUUGUAAGAGAAGAACGUGUGUGAGAGUGGAAAGUUCACACAGUGACGGUAACUUACCAGAAAGGGACGGCUAACUACGUGCCAGCAGCCGCGGUAAUACGUAGGUCCCGAGCGUUGUCCGGAUUUAUUGGGCGUAAAGCGAGCGCAGGCGGUUUAAUAAGUCUGAAGUUAAAGGAAGUGGCUUAACCAUUGGUGGCUUUGGAAACUGUUAAACUGGAGUGCAGAAGGGGAGAGUGGAAUUCCAUGUGUAGCGGUGAAAUGCGUAGAUAUAUGGAGGAACACCGGUGGCGAAAGCGGCUCGCUGGUCUGUAACUGACGCUGAGGCUCGAAAGCGUGGGGAGCAAACAGG
rnacentral:rRNA from 1 species